rnacentral:rRNA from 1 species
AUUGAACGCUGGCGGCAUGCCUUACACAUGCAAGUCGAACGGCAGCACGGGAGCAAUCCUGGUGGCGAGUGGCGAACGGGUGAGUAAUGUAUCGGAGCGUGCCCAGCCGUGGGGGAUAACGUAGCGAAAGCUACGCUAAUACCGCAUACGAUCUAUGGAUGAAAGCGGGGGAUCGCAAGACCUCGCGCGAUUGGAGCGGCCGAUAUCAGAUUAGGUAGUUGGUGGGGUAAAGGCUCACCAAGCCGACGAUCUGUAGCUGGUCUGAGAGGACGACCAGCCACACUGGGACUGAGACACGGCCCAGACUCCUACGGGAGGCAGCAGUGGGGAAUUUUGGACAAUGGGCGCAAGCCUGAUCCAGCAAUGCCGCGUGCAGGAUGAAGGCCUUCGGGUUGUAAACUGCUUUUGUACGGAACGAAACGGUGAGCUCUAAUACAGUUUGCUAAUGACGGUACCGUAAGAAUAAGCACCGGCUAACUACGUGCCAGCCGCCGCCGUAA